rnacentral:rRNA from 1 species
AUGGAAGUUACCACACUCGGACAGUUACUUCUCUUGAUACUGGUGACUUUCAAUGCACAAUAUGUGGUCGUCAUCUGCAGCUCAUCCUCCGUACAUGGUAACGAGACAGAUCGGUUAUCACUGCUUGGAUUCAAGGACGCAAUCAGCCUCGACCCGCAACAAGCCUUGAUGUCCUGGAAUGAUAGCACCCACUUCUGCGAUUGGGAAGGUGUCAUGUGCAGGGUGAAGGCUCCAUCCCGUGUCACUUCCCUAAACCUUACAGGUCGAGGGUUGGUAGGACAUAUCUCUAAUAUUUAUAUAACUAAAAAACAGAAUAAUUUCUAA